UGAAUACGAGACGCUAAGGCGUCGAAGUAGUGUAUGUCAUACUUCCAAGAAAAGCUUGCACUGUCAUAAGUAAAAAAUGCCUGUACCAUAACCGACACAGGUGGGUAGGUAGAGUAUACUAAGGGGCGCGAGAUAACUCUCUCUAAGGAACUCGGCAAAAUAACUCCGUAACUUCGGGAGAAGGAGUACCUUAUUCUAUAAGGUUGCAAUAACAAGAUCCAAGCAACUGUUUAUCAAAAACACAGGUCUCCGCUAAGUCGUAAGACGAUGUAUGGGGGCUGACGCCUGCCCAGUGCCAGAAGGUUAAAGAAGUCGGUUAGCAUUAGCGAAGCUGGUAACUGAAGCCCUGGUGAACGGCGGCCGUAACAAUAACGGUCCUAAGGUAGCGAAAUUCCUUGUCGGGUAAGUUCCGACCCGCACGAAAGGCGUAAUGAUUUGGAUACUGUCUCGGAGAGGGGCUCGGUGAAAUAGACUUGUCUGUGAAGAUGCGGACUACCUGCACCAGGACAGAAAGACCCUAUGAAGCUUUACUGUAACUUGAAAUUGAAAUUGGACUUUAUUCGCGCAGUAUAGGUGGGAGGUGUUGAUUAUAAUCUUGCGGGAUUAUUGGAGCCAUCAGUGAGAUACCACUCUUGUAAUGUUAGAUUUCUAACUUUGAAUCAUUAUCUGGUCAAAGGACAGUUUCAUGCGGGCAGUUUGACUGGGGCGGUCGCCUCCCAAACGGUAACGGAGGCGUACAAAGGUUUCCUCUGAACGGGUAGAAAUCGUAUCUAGAGUGUAAAGGCAUAAGGAAGCUUGACUGUGAGACCUACAAGUCGAACAGGGACGAAAGUCGGUCUUAGUGAUCUGACGGUACUGAGUGGAAAGGCCGUCACUCAACGGAUAAAAGUUACUCUAGGAUAACAGGCUGAUCUCCCCCAAGAGUUCACAUCGACGGGGAGGUUUGGCACCUCGAUGUCGGCUCAUCGCAUCCUGGGGCGGUAGUACGUCCCAAGGGUUGGGCUGUUCGCCCAUGAAAGCGGUACGCGAGCUGGGUUCGGAACGUCGUGAGACAGUUCGGUCCAUAUCCAGUGUAGGCGUUAGAAUAUUGAGAGGAGCCUUCUUUAGUACGAGAGGACCGAGAAGGACAUACCUCUGGUGUACCAGUUAUCGUGCCAACGGUAAACGCUGGGUAGCUAUGUAUGGAGUGGAUAACCGCUGAAAGCAUCUAAGUGGGAAGCCCACCUCAAGAUAAG
rnacentral:rRNA from 1 species